GACGAAGGAUGCAAGCGUUAUCCGGGUUCAUUGGGUUUAAAGGGAGCGUAGGUGGCCUGCUAAGUCAGUGGUGAAAUCUUCUCGCUUAACGAGAAAACUGCCAUUGAUACUGGUGGGCUUGAGUACAGAUGCCGUUGGCGGAAUAUGACAUGUAGUGGUGAAAUACAUAGAGAUGUCAUAGAACACCGAUUGCGAAGGCAGCUAACGAAACUGUAACUGACACUGAGGCUCGAAAGUGCGGGGAUCAAACAGG
rnacentral:rRNA from 1 species